CGUCGCCCGCUCCACGGAGGUCAAGGCUUCCAUGGCUGAGCGAUUUAUCAAUCUGGUCGUGCCGCUGCCCCACAAGGGCACCGCCAUGCGCAAUGAGGAUACCGGCCGCCAGUGUGCGGAGAGGUCCAGCGCCGUUUCUCCGCUGAUCGGCGAUGGCCUUCAGCAGAGCGACGUAGAUAGCACGAUACUUCC
rnacentral:sRNA from 17 species